rnacentral:lncRNA from 10 species
GCAUGAUCACAGCUCACUGCAGCCUUGACCUUCCAAGCCCAAUCCAUCCUUCCACCUCAGCCUCCUGAGUAGCUGAUACUACAGAUUUUUGCAUUUCUGACUACUGAUGGCUCCACCUGAACUCAUGAACUGGUCCUGUGGCUCCCACCCAGGAACCAACUCAGUGCAAGAGGAUGGCUUCGACUCUAUGAUUUCAUCUAUCACCCAACCAAUCAGAACUCCCCACUCCUUGGCCUCCUACCCACCAAACUAUCCUUGAAAAGCCCUAGUCUCUGAACUUUUGAGGGGACCAAUUUGAGUAAUAAUAAAGCUCCAGGCUCCCAUUCAG